UCCCAUCCGGGGCCCUCGCCCCCCAAGCACCGUGCCUCCGCCUCCCCGAGGGGCGGCCCGAGAGCUCCCAGACCCUGGCGCCGUGAGAGGCCCAGGCCUGAGCCCUGCGGCGCCAAGGCCCCUCCAUCAGGGGCCCCGAGGCCCGUCGGGGAGGUACAUUUAAGUCUGCUGUGGUCUUCCCUCAAGUUCUGAUCUCGUCCUCUCCGCGAAAGCAACCACUGACACAAAUUUGCAGAUGAAGAAAUAUGUCCAGAGAAAAUAAAUUUGUUUAACAAGACUAGGCUUUUGGGAAAAAGAGAGGAUACAACAUCAAUAUUCAGCUAAAAACAAGGCAAGUAAUUCUGAGUGAUUUUCUUUGGUUCUUGAGGAGUUGACAGAAUGUUUCUGAUACUGCUUAGUUGCUGUUUAUUGAGGAGUAAAUGCUGAGUUUGAAGACACUAAAGAAUUAGCCUCCGUGAACAGUCUGUGUGGAACAACUGCCUGCACGGAUAUUUUCAAAGCAGAGGAAGUAUUAAUUCCCAGAGGUGGAAUCUGCAAGCUGUGUUACAAUUAAUGGUAAAAAUACAUUUGGAGAAAAAAAGGGCUGAGUUGGAAAAUUUUUCAAGCUCAUGAAAAUGUAUCAUUAAAACCUAUGAUUCAUCAUUGUGUUAGUCACCAGCAGAUACUUUGAAGGAAACGUUUGGAUCAUGUUAUUGAACCAGUGGUGUCAAUGGUGAACUUCAUUUGCUCUCAUGAACUUAACUAUCCUCACUUCUGUGAUUUUCGGGUCAGAAAUAGAAGCUGCUGUCCUCACUUGCCUGCACACAACAGUUCGAUGGCUGAACAGUGGCCAUGUUUCACUGUGAAGUUUUGAGUUCAAGGCUGAGAUUGAAAUUUUUAUUGAAUGAGAAGAAUCAUCCUCGUCCACUGGUUUUGAACACAGAUGGCCGUGGAAAUCAGCUUUUGUGGCAGACUUGGUAAUUGAAUCCUAAUGAAUUCAACCUAAAGUUACAAGGAAAACAGCGCUUAGAGGUGAAACUUAAACUGUGGUAAAAUUAUUUCAAAGACAGCUAACACUGUUUGAAUCACAAGUCAUGUCAAACUGUUCUACAGGCUUCCCGUGCUAUACAAGGUUAAAAUAAGAAGUGGGGUCUUCACUGACACACAAAUUUGUAGCAGAUGUAUAUUCUGAGCUCAAAUUACAGUUCCAGCAGUGUUUUUUUUGGACCUCAAUGCAAGUGUAGCGGAAAUUUCCAUUUUUCAAAAUCCAUGCAGUUGAAGAGCUUUCUCCUAAACCUUCAGUUGGAAGGAAUUACUCUUUAAUGUAAUGCUCUGUUUUAAGGAAAAUACCAAGACAUAAAUCUAGUAGAAGCCUAUUAGUAACUUCCAAGUGAUGAAUUUCCUUAAUUAAAAUCAUAAUUAUGGAUUGAUGUCACUAUUUGGUAAUAUCUGUCUGUGUGAAAAGGCAUUUCUAAUGAUGGAAGAAUCUCAUUACACAGCAGCAUCAGCAGAUGGACAUUUGCAAUGGAUUUUGAUGAUAAGUGAGCAGUAAUUUUGAACCUCAAUUAAAUGAAAUGUUACUCCUUAAAAAGGAAUUACAUUUUCCUCAUUGUUAGACCUGUAUUGCAAAAAUUGUAUUAAAUUAUUAUGUUUAUGUUUUGAGUUUUAUCAAUAAAAAAU